rnacentral:lncRNA from 1 species
AAUCGCUUAGGAAAAGUAGUGUUUUCUUUUGUUGAAAUCAAAGAUUAUUAGAAGAUAUGGUCACAAACGAAGAGUGGAAGUCUUUGGUGCCAUUUCCACUACGGUACCAACGACAUAAGGCACCUGCUUGAGAAAACAUUAUCACUCUUUCUUUAUUUGGAUCUUUAAUUUUAAUAUUAUAUAUGCAUUAAUCCAUAGGCAAAUCUCCAAAAUAUCAUAUUUCUAAGUUUAUAUCACAAAAAUAGCACUCAAAAACUAAAAUGACCAAAAUAGUAUUUUAUCUUUUGAAAAUUUUAAUUUUUUUAUUUUUCAAAAUUUGAAAUCUUAUCCCCAAAACCUCAUUUCUCAACUCUAAACCCUAAACCCUAAACUCUAAACCUUAAACCCUAAACCCUAAACUCUAAACCCUAAACCCUAAACCCUAAACUCUAAACCCUAAAUCCUAAACUCUAAACCCUAAACCCUAAACCCUAAACCCAAAAUCUAAACCCUAAACCCUAAACCCUAAACUCUAAACCCUAAACCCUAAACCCUAAAUCGUAAACUUCACCCUUUAACUCUAAACCCUAAGUUUGUGACUUUUGAUAAAACAUUAAUUGCUAUUUUUGUGACUUUUGACCUUGAGUGCUAGUUUGAGA